GCCCUCUUAGCUCAGUGGUAGAGCGCGUCACUAGUAUUAGGCCCAACACUUUUGUAAGUAAAAUGACGAGGUCAGUCGUUCAAGUCGGCUAGAGGGAA